GCGCGCCGCCGUACCUGAGCCGCCUGCUGACAGGGUCCAUCUUCCAGGAACCGGGCGAUGAGGAAGUAGAGCUCUGCGCGGGAGAGAGGGACGGGGAGACACACAGGCUGAGCGGUCGGGCGGCGGGGGGCGGGGGACCGCGGGCGGAAUCGCCCGGUGCCAGCGGCCCCGGCAGCCCCCCGACUUACCCGAUCGCAGCUCCGAGAGGCCUUUCCUCUCACAAGACAUGUUUAUGGGUCACUUCAGGGCCGCCGACGGGACACCCCGCCGCCGAGGGGAAGCGGGGACGGUGCCGCCGCCUGCCCUAUAGCUGUCAGUGUGUGUUCACGAGCCGAGCUUCGGCUCCACCAUUCAAGCAACGGCGGCGGAGGCGGAGGAGGAGGAGGAGGAAACAACAACUCUCAGGCAGCGACUACGGCCGUGGCCGCCUCCGCCGCGGAUCCCUCCGCCGCAGAAAGGAGUCCGCCGCCUUCGCGGCCCAGGGCUCGGCCCCGGCUCUGGCCCGCGCCCCCGCCCCCCGGCGCUAAAAAAGGAGUGCCUCCGACCCCUCGUCCCCAGCGCUCCGCACGCGGCACAGUGAGACCCCCACCCGCUCCUCCCCGCAGGGCGUGCGAUUUAUUUAUUUAUUUCCAGUCGGAGAAGAUGUCGGAGCCCAAGCCGCCGGUUGGCUGGAAGGCGCUUUCUCUGUGGAGGCCGAUAGUGGCAGGGAGGGGGCCGGGGACGGUUCCGCGGAGGGAUCUGACGCACACGGAGCCGCAGCACAGGCUCUAUUCAGCGGCGCUGGCUGGAGCUGAGAUGGAAGUUAGUUUCUAUGUAGCAGAAAUAUGAAACAAAUGAAGCAAAACUGCCCAGAGAGGGGAAAUGCCCCAAGGAUGGGUCUCACUCACGCGCGUACACAGACACACACGCAGAGAGCACUCUCACGCUGGGCAAGCUCGGGAUCGCGCUACCCUUCCCGAGUUGAAUGAUAGUGUUUGGUUUCUGUCUCUUGCCAUGUGCAUGUGUAUAAAUGCUGCGGAUUGGCAUCUGUGUAAGUCUUGUCCUGCGUUAUUUCUGCAGCCUAUGCAAGUGUUGUGUAAUUUAUUGGAGUGCUGUAUAUUGCAAUAGAGGUUUGGGCUGCUUUUUGUUAAGCACUUGCGUUUUGCAAACCCGUUAUUUGCUGAAGCCACCUCUGCAUAUUUCUUUUAUUACUGCCAUUGCCUUUGGCGUACGUUUUUUAAAUGUUUUUUAUUGUUAAACGGGCAAAGCGAACUCUUGAUUUGUACUUCAGAUACUCUUUUUCCUUAUUACAAAAAGGCUAGUGAUGGCUAAUUAGGUAUUUGGAAUUAAAGAACCUUAAAGCUUUUUUAAGUGUUUACGAGAAGGGAGAAUGUAAACCUGAGGGAAAGGAAAGGACGCUAAUAUUCAUGUCUAACUGAUCUGGAGGUAAUUUAGUGACAGAUCGAUAACCUGCCUAAGGAUAUUGAAAGAGUAUACUACAGUUUAGCCAAGGUGAAUAGUGAUUAAAUAAUUUAAAUAAUCUGUGUAUCUUGCAGUUGACUUCGUCAUGCUAAUUAAUGGCUUCUAAUUUGAGAUGUAAACCAUUCCUGUUUACAGUUAAUCACGGGAAGACUUCUUGAAAACUGACGAAAAGGAGAAAAAAAAAUCUUUCGUAAAUUAGUAUGUAAUUACCGAUUUUAUAUGCUAAAUCAUACAUCUGUGUUUUGCUGAUGAGGAUAAGGGCCUUGUUUUUAAAAAAACGAAUAUGGGUGAAAUUAAUGGAAACAAUAGAAAAAGCCAUUUGUUAGAAAACAAGGACACCAAAUGAUAUUUAUCUCCAGAUGAUUUAAGCACUUUCCAAAAAGACUUGAGAGUUCAAUAUUUUUUAAGGAUUGCAUUUUAAAGGGAAUUUGGAUAGUCGUUCUUUUGUUAACAUUUAACAAAAGAUUCUCCUUAAAAAUGUUAGAUAAUAAACUGCAUUUUAUGGGUCUGGUUUAAAAAGGUUAUUUGUGGGGAAAGGACCAACAAGCUGUAUUGUGGUUUUCUAGAUUGUUUCCUCAAGCCUUGUAACCUCCUAGCUCCUUACAUUCCUAGUGGGAAAUACUUGCUGCAAAUGCCUUGGGCUGCACUGUAAGCCCAAGUGUGCUGCACCAGUGUGAUGCCCUAUACUAAAACAUCCAGAAAUCAUCAUACAUAUGAGGAAGAAGAAAUAAAGCCUCAAACCCUUUGGAAUAAUAGGAUAUAAAAUUGCCUUUUGUAACUGAAUCUUAAAAAUGGAAGGUUACCAUGACUUGUCCUAUUGCAACCUGGUUAUCAGAAUAACUUAUUUUUUUUAAGAUAGCUAUUCUCAAAUACUGAACAUAUUUGCAUCUUUAAAGACACUUUAUUCUAUUCAAUUAUAGGUAAAGUAGCCUAUUUCUAGGUGGUUAGGCUUGAAAAGAUAGACUGAAAAGAUAGGAAAUUUUGUAUGCCUUUUUGCAAAUUGUAUUUACUUCUAAGACCGAUGCUGUUUUAGCUUAACUUUUAAAAAAGUGUUCUUCAAAUAAUUGUAAUAUUUUACACGAUCUUGAAGUUCUUCAAAUAAACAGAGUUUAGAAACUAAAAAUUAUAGUGGGAUUUUCUGGUUUUGAAGGCUUGGAAUGUAUGAUUCUUACUAAUAGAUGUUUUAUUCUUGUGAUUGAAAAUAAACCAAAUUAUGACAUGGAAUAUAAUAUUACUCUGGGUAAAGUUUGUGAUAUAUAUCUUCUGUGUGUUUUGUAAACAUAGAAAACUAGCAUGAUUAUCUCAUAUAUUCUUUUCAUUUAGAAGCCACAAAAGCUUUCACCUAAAUAUGCUACUAGUACUUAGCUCCUUAAAAAUUUUUUGGAAAAUCCCCCUCUAAGUUUUCUAAACAUGAUGUUCCUGUCAUUUUGAUUGAUUUUUGACAGUGUUUAUAUUUCUUUUUCAAAUGUCCAAUAUGCAGAUUGUUGUAACCUUCCCUUUGAACUAUUGUCUGUUAUAAGAAAAUAUACAUUACCUGCUAAAAAUUAAAACUUCCCUUCAGCCAAAUAAACUAUUUGUAUUUAACAGUG
ensembl:lncRNA novel transcript, antisense to PHIP